rnacentral:rRNA from 1 species
ACGAACGCUGGCGGCGUGCUUAACACAUGCCAGUCGAACGGAAAGGCCCUGCCUUUGUGGGGUGCUCGAGUGGCGAACGGGUGAGUAACACGUGAGUAACCUGCCCUUGACUUUGGGAUAACUUCAGGAAACUGGGGCUAAUACCGGAUAGGAGCUCCUGCUGCAUGGUGGGGGUUGGAAAGUUUCGGCGGUUGGGGAUGGACUCGCGGCUUAUCAGCUUGUUGGUGGGGUAGUGGCUUACCAAGGCUUUGACGGGUAGCCGGCCUGAGAGGGUGACCGGCCACAUUGGGACUGAGAUACGGCCCAGACUCCUACGGGAGGCAGCAGUGGGGAAUAUUGCACAAUGGGCGGAAGCCUGAUGCAGCAACGCCGCGUGCGGGAUGACGGCCUUCGGGUUGUAAACCGCUUUCGCCUGUGACGAAGCGUGAGUGACGGUAAUGGGUAAAGAAGCACCGGCUAACUACGUG